rnacentral:rRNA from 1 species
GGGUCUCGUGGCGCACGGGUGCGUCACGCGUGGGCACUCUGCCCCUUGGUUCGGAAUCAUAGUUCUCAAUGCCUGGCUCAUCCCGGAUCACGACGUCAGUCCAAAGCUUUCUCGCCGAGGGAUGCGCCCGCGUCGGCUUCGCUCGUUGGUGUGGUAAAGGCGCACCAAGGCGCCGAUUCGUCGCUGGUCUGAGCGGAUGCUCAGCCACACUGGGAAUGAGCCACGGCCCAAACUCCUCCGGGAGGCAGCAGUGGGGAAUCUUGGACAAUGGGCGCAAGCCUGAUCCAGCCAUGCCGCGUGAGUGAUGAAGGUCUUAGGAUUGUAAAGCUCUUUCACCGGGGACGAUAAUGACGGUACCCGGAGAAGAAGCCCCGGCUAACUUCGUGCCAGCAGCCGCGGUAAU